AAAAACAUUUCUAUUAAAUUUAAUUAAUAGUAAUAUCUGCUCAAUGAAGAUUAAAUAGCCGCAAUAGUGCUAAGGUAGUAUAAUAAUUUGUCUUUUAAUUAAAGACCAAACAAAAGAUUUAACAAUUAAAUCAAUUUUACAAAAAUAUAACAUUUAAAUUAUUCUAAUUGUAAAAAAACAAUUAUAUGAUAAGAAGACGACAAGACCCUAUCGAACUUAACUUAAUGUUUAACUGGGGUAGUUAAUAAAUUAAUAUCUUUAUUUACUUAAAAGAAUCAACGAUCUUAUAUAAUCAAUUGAGUAACCAAGUUACCGUAGGGAUAACAGCGUAAUAUAGUUUUUUAGGUCUUAUUUAAAAUUAAGUUUACGACCUCGAUGUUGAAUUAAUUUACUGACUAACGCAAUAGUAAGUUAAAGUAAGUCUGUUCGACUUUUAAAUAAUUACAUGAUCUGAGUUCAAACCGGAG
rnacentral:rRNA from 1 species